CCUACGGGUGGCAGCAGUAAGGAAUAUUGCUCAAUGGGCGAAAGCCUGAAGCAGCAACGCCGCGUGCAUGAUGAAGGCCUUCGGGUCGUAAAAUGCUUUUCGGGGAGAUGAGGAAGGACAGUAUCCCCGGAAUAAGGUACGGCUAACUACGUGCCAGCAGCCGCGGUAAAACGUAGGUACCGAGCGUUAUCCGGAUUCACUGGGCGUAAAGCGCGUGCAGGUGGUUUGGUAAGUCGGGCAUGAAAUCUCUUGGCUCAACUGAGAGAAGCUGUCCGAUACUGCUGAACUUGAGGGUGUAAGAGGGAGGUGGAAUUCCGCAUGUAGUGGUGAAAUGCGUAGAUAUGCGGAGGAACACCAGUGGCGAAGGCGGCCUCCUGGUACACUCCUGACACUCAGACGCGAAAGCUAGGGGAGCGAACGGGAUUAGAUACCCUUGUAGU
rnacentral:rRNA from 1 species